GACGAACGCUGGCGGCGUGCUUAACACAUGCAAGUCGAACGGAGCGAAUGAAAGCUUGCUUUUAUAAGCUUAGUGGCCAACGGGUGAGUAACACGUAGGCAACCUGCCGACAGGAUGGGGACAACAUUCCGAAAGGAAUGCUAAUACCGAAUGAAGCGCAGGAGAGGCAUCUCUCCUGCGUGAAAGAUGGCCUCUAUAUAUAAGCUAUCACCUGUCGAUGGGCCUGCGUCUGAUUAGCUGGUAGGUGAGGUAACGGCUCACCUAGGCGACGAUCAGUAGCCGGUCUGAGAGGAUGAACGGCCACAUUGGGACUGAGACACGGCCCAGACUCCUACGGGAGGCAGCAGUGGGGAAUCUUCCGCAAUGGGCGCAAGCCUGACGGAGCAACGCCGCGUGAGUGAAGAAGGUCUUCGGAUCGUAAAGCUCUGUUGAUGGGGACGAACGUGCCUAAUGCGAAUAGUAUUAGGU
rnacentral:rRNA from 1 species